UGAAUGCGUUUAUCAGGCGGGAAGAAUCUGUUUCUGAAAUUUCGCGCCCGAAGCUGCGACGUCGAGAGGUCGAACUCGUUCCAAUGUAUUCGAGCCGUUGCAGUGCUAGCAGUCGUAAAUUGUCUGUCCUCGGCGAAAGGGUAGUGAGUGAUUCGACGACUGAACGAAUCCUCACGGGUGACUACACCAAAGGGAACAAAGGCCGUAUACGAAGAUGUGUGGUGGUUUUACGUGCUCUAAAAAUGCUUUGACGGCUUUAAACAUCCUUUAUAUCGUUGUUGCAUUUAUUUUAAUUGGUGUAGCUGUUUAUGGAAGAGCUUCUGCAUUAGUCACAAACCUUCCUAUAAUUGGAGGUAUUUUAGCAUGUGGUGUUAUUUUGAUUCUAAUUUCUAUACUUGGACUGAUUGGUGCUGUUAAACAUCAUCAAGUUCUAUUAUUCUUUUACAUGCUUAUUUUAUUUCUACUGUUCUUAAUCCAAUUUAGUAUCGCGUGUGCUUGCCUUGCCGUUAAUACCAAACAACAAGAACAAUUAGCAGAACAGGGUUGGAAGCACGCAAAUGAAUUAAUAGAUAAGGUUCAAGAAACUUUCAAAUGCUGUGGUUUCAACGGUACUGAAAUCACAUAUAUGAAUAAUUCAGAUCCAUUUAUUGAAUCUUGCAAAAUUAAAUAUUGUUGCCAAUAUCCUACAAAUACUGAUUGUGAAUGCCCAUCUUGUAUGCAAAAAUUACAAUCUACGAUUGAUUAUGCCUUUAAAUUAUGUGGCAGCAUAGGAUUGUUCUUCAGUUUUACAGAGUUUGUUGGUGUUUGGUUGACCGUGCGAUACAGGAAUCAGAAAGAUCCACGAGCUAAUCCUAGUGCUUUCCUCUAGUCUAACACCAUCGCCAUGUCCUCUGUCACCUCAUAUGAUCCUCCUAAUAGAUGGUGAUUGCAGCUUUCUUGGCAAAACGUUACAGAAAUCAACUAUAUCAACAUUCAAAAGCUAUUUUUCCUUAAUAUACUUUUAUUUAUUUUCAACAUACUUUAUAUCAUUUAAAUACAAAUAUUUUUCCAAAUUAAAACUAGAUUCUAAUAAGUAAUAGGUGAAUUAGUUGUAAUCAAAGUUUUGAUCGCUUUGAUUUGCAUUUGGAAAUAUUAGGUUAUUUAAUAGCCAAGAUAUAAUUCUUAUUUCAUAGUACAAAUACCAUCUUGCAUAUAAUACUUGCAUAUAAUUCUUGAGAAACUGUUGGUAUUUCACUACAGUUUAUAACG